rnacentral:rRNA from 1 species
GUGAGGAUUUUGCGCAUGGGGGUAACCCUGNCGCAGCAACGCCGCGUGAGUGAAGAAGGCUUUCGGGUCGUAAAGCUCUGUCAAGUGGGAAGAACCCGCAUCAGGUCAACAGGCUGAUGCGCUGACGGUACCACUGAAGGAAGCACCGGCUAACUCCGUGCCAGCAGCCGCGGUAAUACUGGAGGGUGCAAGCGUUAUUCGGAAUUACUGGGCGUAAAGGGCGCGCAGGCGGCUGGAUAAGUCAGUAGUGAAAGCCCAGGGCUCAACCCUGGAAGUGCUGCUGAAACUGUUUAGCUUGAGUAUGGUAGAGGGAAGUGGAAUUCCUGGUGUAGCGGUGAAAUGCGUAGAUAUCAGGAGGAACACCGGUGGCGAAGGCGGCUUCCUGGACCAAUACUGACGCUGAGGCGCGAAGGCGUGGGUAGCAAACAGGAUUAGAUACCCUGGUAGUCCACGCAGNAAACGGUGAUCACUAGGUGUUUGCGGNNAUUGAUACCUGCAGNGNCGUANNUAACGCAUUAAUNGAU